UGCUUUAUCUUUAAAAUCUUAACUGUACUGCUUAUGUCGUAGGAGGAGGUGGUAGCAAGGGUUGUAGAAGAACUAUCAGCAUGACAAAAAGAUCUAUGGAGAUACCUCUCAAAAUCCAGCAAACUCUGAUAAGUUCUUCAUGUGUAAUGAUGCAAAGAUGUAAGCAAGCUGCACUGAAUCAUUAUACAGCGUGCUGUGGCUAAAAUGCAUGAAAAAAUCCAAAGUAAAGGAUCAUCAGAGACAAUUUACAUGAGAAAUGAAGAAUCGUAUGAGGAAAGAAAUGAACAAAACUUUGUCUCCUUCAACAGUUGUUGCCACUAAUAAAA
rnacentral:lncRNA from 1 species